rnacentral:rRNA from 1 species
AACCUCCCACCCGUGUUUACUGUACCUUAGUUGCUUCGGCGGGCCCGCCAUUCAUGGCCGCCGGGGGCUCUCAGCCCCGGGCCCGCGCCCGCCGGAGACACCACGAACUCUGUCUGAUCUAGUGAAGUCUGAGUUGAUUGUAUCGCAAUCAGUUAAAACUUUCAACAAUGGAUCUCUUGGUUCCGGCAUCGAUGAAGAACGCAGCGAAAUGCGAUAACUAGUGUGAAUUGCAGAAUUCCGUGAAUCAUCGAGUCUUUGAACGCACAUUGCGCCCCCUGGUAUUCCGGGGGGCAUGCCUGUCCGAGCGUCAUUGCUGCCCAUCAAGCACGGCUUGUGUGUUGGGUCGUCGUCCCCUCUCCGGGGGGGACGGGCCCCAAAGGCAGCGGCGGCACCGCGUCCGAUCCUCGAGCGUAUGGGGCUUUGUCACCCGCUCUGUAGGCCCGGCCGGCGCUUG